CUAGCCGUAAACGAUACUCGCUAGGUGUCGGCCACGGUGCGACCGUUGUCGGUGCCGUAGGGAAGCCGUGAAGCGAGCCACCUGGGAAGUACGGCCGCAAGGCUGAAACUUAAAGGAAUUGGCGGGGGAGCACAACAACGGGUGGAGCUUGCGGUUUAAUUGGAUUCAACGCCGGAAAUCUUACCGGGACCGACAGCAACAUGAAGGCCAAGCUGAAGACUUUGCCGGAUUAGCUGAGAGGUGG
rnacentral:rRNA from 1 species